UCUCAGAUCGUAUAGUGGUCAGUAUUUCGGCUUGUCAUAACACAACACGCCGGAGGCCGGGGUUCGAUUCCCCGUCUGAGAG